UGAAGCACCCAGUUAAAACUGUCGGGAGC
rnacentral:piRNA from 1 species